CCGUACUAGAUGGGGAGGUAGCGGUUCCCUGUAACUUGCAGUCCGCUAUAGCAAGGUGGAAUUCCCACGAAAGGUCCUCGCCUGUGAAGCUGUCUUUGAUGGGGGGGCGAUGAAAUUUUGGUCUUACGCAACAGGACACUCCGAACCGUGUCAGAUCUUGACGGAAGCAGCACUAAGGAGAACGUUUUGUGUGCCGUGGGGUUGCCUGAAUUGAGUCUACCGAUCAAGGUAACGUUCGGAGGUGAUGGUUCGAUCAAGGGUGUACGG
rnacentral:SRP_RNA from 1 species